rnacentral:tRNA from 2 species
AAGACAUUAGUAAAAUGUAGAUUACACCACCUUGUCAAGGUGAAGUCGUAGGUUAAACCCCUGCAUGUCUUA